GCCAGGCACGGUGGCUCAUGCCUGUAAUCCCAGCUACCCAGGAGGCUGAGGCAGGAGGAUUCCUUGAGCCCAGGAGUUUCAGGCUUCAGUGAGCUAUGAUUGCACCACUGCACUCCAGCCUGGAUGACAGUGAGACUCUCUCUCUCUUUUUAAGAGACAAGGUCUCAAUCUCUGGUCCAGGCUGGAGUGCAGUGAUGCAAUCAUAGCUCACUGCAGGCUCGAACUCCUGGGCUCAAGUGAUCCUCCCAC
rnacentral:SRP_RNA from 10 species